CCGACCUGAGAGGGUGAUCGGCCACACUGGAACUGAGACACGGUCCAGACUCCUACGGGAGGCAGCAGUAGGGAAUCUUCCGCAAUGGGCGAAAGCCUGACGGAGCAACGCCGCGUGAGUGAUGAAGGUCUUCGGAUCGUAAAGCUCUGUUGUUAGGGAAGAACAAAUGUGUAAGUAACUGUGCACAUCUUGACGGUACCUAACCAGAAAGCCACGGCUAACUACGUGCCAGCAGCCGCGGUAAUACGUAGGUGGCAAGCGUUAUCCGGAAUUAUUGGGCGUAAAGCGCGCGUAGGCGGUUUUUUAAGUCUGAUGUGAAAGCCCACGGCUCAACCGUGGAGGGUCAUUGGAAACUGGAAAACUUGAGUGCAGAAGAGGAAAGUGGAAUUCCAUGUGUAGCGGUGAAAUGCGCAGAGAUAUGGAGGAACACCA
rnacentral:rRNA from 1 species